GACGAACGCUGGCGGCGUGCCUAAUACAUGCAAGUAGAACGCACAGUUUAUACCGUAGCUUGCUACACCGUAGACUGUGAGUUGCGAACGGGUGAGUAACGCGUAGGUAACCUGCCUGGUAGCGGGGGAUAACUAUUGGAAACGAUAGCUAAUACCGCAUAAUAUUAAUUAUUGCAUGAUAAUUGAUUGAAAGAUGCAACUGCAUCACUACCAGAUGGACCUGCGUUGUAUUAGCUAGUAGGUGAGGUAACGGCUCACCUAGGCGACGAUACAUAGCCGACCUGAGAGGGUGAUCGGCCACACUGGGACUGAGACACGGCCCAGACUCCUACGGGAGGCAGCAGUAGGGAAUCUUCGGCAAUGGACGAAAGUCUGACCGAGCAACGCCGCGUGAGUGAAGAAGGUUUUCGGAUCGUAAAGCUCUGUUGUAAGAGAAGAACGGGUGUGAGAGUGGAAAGUUCACACUGUGACGGUAUCUUACCAGAAAGGGACGGCUAACUACGUG
rnacentral:rRNA from 1 species